ensembl:sense_intronic Gm43331 predicted gene 43331
AGGUCCACUCCAAGGCCGCUGCUGUCUUUGGUAGUGCUGACAGGGUACUGGGAUCUCCCCUGUAACUGGGCUGCACUUUCAUUAAUAGCCUCUCCUGGGAUCUCUUCACUACUCUAAGCCGGCUUCAUGGUAUCAAGCCUCAACUUCUCUCUAUGGGACUCUCUUCAAUUUGAGGCUUCUACUGCAACGGAGGGUUCACCUUCACAAGGGGCCUUUUUCAUAGUGCCAUGCUUCAGCAGUUCUCCAUAACCCCUUGAUGCCUUCAAAACUUUCUCAGCUUCAGCUAAAAGACAACCCAGAAAGCAAAGGUUUUUACUUGUGGUGUUGGUCUCUUUUAAUCACAGCUCCAGCUGAUGAGAGACUACAAAUUUUUUUGUUUGUUUUUGAUAUAUAUAUGUAUGUAAUGUAUAUAUAGAUAUCCAUAUCUAUAUAUACAUAUACAUACAUACACAUACACACACACACACACAUAUAUUCAAGACAGGAUUUCUUUGUGUAGCCCUGGCUGUCGUGGAACUAGCUCUGUAGACCAGGCUGGCCUCAAACUCACAGAGAUCCAUCUGCCUUUGCCUGGCAUUAAAGGUGCACACUACCACCACCUUUAAAAAGACUACAGAUUCUUUUUCUUAAUUUAUAUUACUAGAGAUUCUUUUAUUUAUUUACAUUCUAAAUUUUGUCCCCUCUCUCAGCCCCCUUUGCAGAGUUCUUCCUCCCAUUCCUCUCACCUCUGAGAGCCCCGCCUCCAAAUCUUCCCCCUCCCUAAGGCAUCAAGUUUCUACAGGAUUAGGCACAUCCUCUCCCACUGAGGCCAGAAAAGGCAGUUCUCUGCUAUAUAUGAGGGGGCCAGGGGAUGGGGUGAUGUGGAGUUGGUUCAGACCAUCCCAGGGGUUCAGGUUAGUUGACACUGUUGGUCUUCCUGUGGGGUUGCCAUUCCUUUCAGUUCCUUCAGUCUUUCCCCUAACUCUUCCAUAGGGGUCCCCAGACCUCAGUCCAGUGCUUGGCUGUAUCUACAUCUGUCUCAGUCAGCUGCUGGGAGAGCCUCUCAGAGGACAGCCAUGCUAAGCUCCUGUCUGCAAGUCCAGUAUAGCAUCAGUAAUAGUGUCAGGGUAUGGUUCCCACUCAUGAGAUGGAUCCCAAGUUGGACCUGUCACUGGUCAGCCAUUUGUUCACUCUUUGCUCCACUUUUGUCCCUGCAUUUCUUUUAGGAACAGUUUUGGGUCAGAAAAUUUGAAGGUGGGUUGGUGACCUCAUCCCUCCACAGGAGGCCCUGUCUAAUUACUGGAAGUGGUCUCUUGAGGUUCCAUAUCCCCACUGUUAGGCAUUUUGGCUAAGUAUCCAACAUAUAUAAAGAACUCAAGAAGUUAGACUCAAAAAGCCAAAUAACUCAAUUAAAAAAUGGGGUACAGAGCUAAACAGAAUUCUCAACAGAGAAAUCUUGAAUGGCUGAGAAGUACUUAAAGAAAUGUUCAGCAUCCUUAGACAUCAGGGAAAUGUAAAUAAAAAUGACCCCGAGAUUCAACUUUAUACCAAUCAGAAUGGUUAAGAGCACUGACUGCUUUCCCAGAGGUCCUGAAUUCAAUUCCCAGCAACCACGUGGUGGUUCACAACCAUCUGUAAUGGGAUCUGAUGCCCUCUUUUGGUGUGUCUGAAGAUAGUGACAGUGCACUUACAAAUAUAAAAUACAUAAAU